rnacentral:rRNA from 1 species
CGUAACGCGGUAGGGAAUUCUCGUCCCGUUGGGGUUACGGAAUAACAGUAGAAUGACUGCUAAUACCGGAUAAUGUCUUCGGACCAAAGAUUUAUCGCCCAGGGAUGAGCCCGCGUAGGAUUAGCUAGUUGGUGAGGUAAAAGGCUCACCAAGGCGACGAUCCUUAGCUGGUCUGAGAGGAUGAUCAGCCACACUGGGACUGAGACACGGCCCAGACUCCUACGGGAGGCAGCAGUGGGGAAUAUUGGACAAUGGGCGAAAGCCUGAUCCAGCAAUGCCGCGUGAGUGAUGAAGGCCUUAGGGUUGUAAAGCUCUUUUACCCGGGAUGAUAAUGACAGUACCGGGAGAAUAAGCCCCGGCUAACUCCGUG